UCUGGGUCAGCAAAAAGAGUGGAGGAUGUACUUGAUAUUUUAACAAUUUUGGAGUAAAGUUUUGUUUAAGAUCUCAAAGUGUUAAAGUAAUUGGUAUGAUAACAUGGGACAAGGAGAUGUAUAACAUAAUCAGGCUGCUCAGGGACUUAAGUGCUGACUGUGAGAUGCCAGGUGUUUAAUAAUGAUGUGCAGUAUUAAUCCUGAAAAGGUGAGCACAACCACAAGAAGUUCUAGGAAACACAGGCAGUGGACUUAAAACAGACAUGGAUUAAAGAAAUAGUAAUUUAAAUAAUAAGAAACAUUUGAAACAAAUUUAUGAUUGAAACACUUCCAGCAAAAUAAUUGCAAAAAAAACCAACAAAGUGUUGGAUUCUAAGAUUCCAAAACCUACAGCUAGAAAAAAAACUGUUUGUGUUAUAGUGAAUGUAGGGUAUUCUAUUCUGUAUUUGGACUAAAGGAUAUGAUAUUUUUUUUAUUAAAUUUUGUGAAAGAAAAUUUAAUGUGAUACAUUAUUGAUAAUUUUAUCCCAAAAUAAUUAUGUGAUCAUGUUAAACUCAUAAAAUUCCACCCCCUAAAUUCUGUCCUAGAAUUCCGCCCAGAAUCUUGUUUGACAAUUCCGCUCCGAAAUUCCGCCCCAAGGUUCCGCCCCAAGAUUCCGCUUCAAAAUUCCGCCCCAAGAUUCCGCUUCAAAAUUCCGCCCAAUUCAUUUGCAUAUUUCGUCCCAAUUCCGCCCAGAAUCCGUUCCAUUUCCGCCUGGAAUCCGGCCGGAAUCCGUGCCAAAAGCAAAUGGUUUAACACUUGUAUAUUCGGGGGAGAAUUUAAUUUUCUGGGCGGAAUCUGCCUUUGAAUUCCGCCCCAUUUCCGUGCAGAAAAUUUCGU